GUAGGGAAUAUUGGGCAAUGGAUGCAAGUCUGACCCAGCCAUCCCGCGUGCCGGAAGAAGGCCCUCAGGGUUGUAAACGGCUUUUGACGGUGAAGAAUCGACAGGAUGCGUCCUGUUUUGACGGUAGCCGUUGAAUAAGCACCGGCUAACUCCGUGCCAGCAGCCGCGGUAAUACGGAGGGUACGAGCGUUGUCCGGAUUUAUUGGGUUUAAAGGGUGCGUAGGCUGGAAGGUCAGUCAGCGGUGAAAAGCUGUCGCUUAACGAUAGUCUUGCCGCAGAUACUUCCUUUCUUGGAUGAGGAGGAGGCCACUGGAACGGAUGGUGUAGCGGUGAAAUGCAUAGAUAUCAUCCAGAACACCGAUUGCGAAGGCAGGUGGCUGUACCUUAAUCGACGCUGAUGCACGAAAGCAUGGGGAGCAAACAGGAUUAGAAACCCUUGUAGUCC
rnacentral:rRNA from 1 species